AUUGAACGCUGGCGGCAUGAUUUACACAUGCAAGUCGAACGGUAACAGGCCGCAAGGUGCUGACGAGUGGCGAACGGGUGAGUAAUGCAUCGGAACGUGCCCAGUCGUGGGGGAUAACUACUCGAAAGAGUAGCUAAUACCGCAUACGAUCUAUGGAUGAAAGCGGGGGACCGUAAGGCCUCGCGCGAUUGGAGCGGCCGAUGUCAGAUUAGGUAGUUGGUGGGGUAAAGGCUCACCAAGCCAACGAUCUGUAGCUGGUCUGAGAGGACGACCAGCCACACUGGGACUGAGACACGGCCCAGACUCCUACGGGAGGCAGCAGUGGGGAAUUUUGGACAAUGGGCGCAAGCCUGAUCCAGCAAUGCCGCAUGCAGGAAGAAGGCCUUCGGGUUGUAAACUGCUUUUGUACGGAACGAAACGGCUCUGGUUAAUACCCGGGGCUAAUGACGGUACCGUAAGAAUAAGCACCGGCUAACUACGUG
rnacentral:rRNA from 1 species